UCUGGACAGGUUUUGAUAAAUCUCCCUCAAUGUUUUGCUGGACCAUCUUUUACUGAGAAUAGUUAAAUUCUGUGUUGCUGUGACAAAGCCCAGGCCAAUCUGGGGGCUUGGCUAUGGAGCCAAUUACAUCUGGCCUCAGAGUCCACACCCUUCUCAGAAAUAUUGUAGGGUUCUACCUUAUAUUUGGUCAUUAUAAUUCUGGCCACUAGAUGUCCCAUACAUUCUUGCAGCAUGUCAUAUGGGUCCCUGCAGCAUUAGCUGAGAGACACAGAGUCAGAAAAUAAAAGGUGACACAGCUUGCUCAGGGACAUGCCCCUGCUAGGAAGAGGAAUGCAGGGAAACUGAGCAGACUACGUAGCAGAUAUCUGGCCAGAACUAGACUGGAAACAGACACAAAUGAC